CAAUGUGUGAAUGUACUUACUGACUGCUUGUAUUAGGUAUACAGUGUCUCAUCCAGGACUAUCAGUUCAAGGACUCUCAGUUAAUGAUAGAGUUAAACAUUUGAAGCAUCUCUCAACAGCUUCAAACUUGUCAACAUCAUAACUAACUGUACAUGUAUGUGUUCAAUAAUAUUAUUUUCCAUUAUAAUGAUACACCUGCACCCACACACAACUAAACAUAUUCAUGUGUUAUAAACAACAAAAUUAUAAAUAUACAAUAAUUUUUAAAACCA